rnacentral:rRNA from 1 species
UACGUAGGGUGCGAGCGUUGUCCGGAAUUAUUGGGCGUAAAGAGCGCGUAGGCGGUCCGAUAAGUCGGCUGUGAAAGUCAGGGGCUCAACCCUUGAAAGCCGGCCGAUACUGUCGGACUAGAGUCCGGAAGAGGCGAGUGGAAUUCCCGGUGUAGCGGUGAAAUGCGCAGAUAUCGGGAGGAACACCGAAGGCGAAGGCAGUGUCCUGGCGAGUGACUGACGCUGAGGUGCGAAAGCCAGGGGAGCGAACGGG